UACGUAGGGGUGCGAGCGUUGUCCGGAAUUAUUGGGGCGUAAAGGGCUCGUAGGCGGUCUGUCACGUCGGGAGUGAAAACACGGGGCUUAACCCCGUGCCUGCUUCCGAUACGGGCAGACUAGAGGUAUGCAGGGGAGAACGAAUUCCUGGUGUAGCGGUGAAAUGCGCAGAUAUCAGGAGGAACACCGGUGGCGAAGGCGGUUCUCUGGGCAUUACCUGACGCUGAGGAGCGAAAGUGUGGGGAGCGAACAGG
rnacentral:rRNA from 1 species